rnacentral:rRNA from 1 species
GAAGAGUUUGAUCAUGGCUCAGAUUGAACGCUGGCGGCAGGCCUAACACUUGCAAGUCGAACGGUAGCACAGAGAGCUUGCUCUCGGGUGACGAGUGGCGGACGGGUGAGUAAUGUCUGGGAAACUGCCUGAUGGAGGGGGAUAACUACUGGAAACGGUAGCUAAUACCGCAUAACGUCGCAAGACCAAAGAGGGGGACCUUCGGGCCUCUUGCCAUCAGAUGUGCCCAGAUGGGAUUAGCUAGUAGGUGGGGUAACGGCUCACCUAGGCGACGAUCCCUAGCUGGUCUGAGAGGAUGACCAGCCACACUGGAACUGAGACACGGUCCAGACUCCUACGGGAGACAGCAGUGGGGAAUAUUGCACAAUGGGCGCAAGCCUGAUGCAGCCAUGCCGCGUGUAUGAAGAAGGCCUUCGGGUUGUAAAGUACUUUCAGCGGGGAGGAAGGUGUUGUGGUUAAUAACCGCAGCAAUUGACGUUACCCGCAGAAGAAGCACCGGCUAACUCCGUGCCAGCAGCCGCGGUAAUAC